GUUGGAUUGUUCACCCACCAA
rnacentral:snRNA from 1 species